UACAGAGGUCUCAAGCGUUGUUCGGAUUCAUUGGGCGUAAAGGGUGCGUAGGCGGCGCGGUAAGUCGGGUGUGAAAUCUCGGGGCUUAACUCCGAAACUGCAUUCGAUACUGCCGUGCUUGAGGACUGGAGAGGAGACUGGAAUUUACGGUGUAGCGGUGAAAUGCGUAGAUAUCUGGAGGAACACCGGUGGCGAAGGCGGCGUUCUGGACUGUUUCUGACACUGAAAAACGAAAGCCAGGGGAGCAAACAGG
rnacentral:rRNA from 1 species